CAGCAGCCGCGGGAAUACGAAGGGUGCAAGCGUUAAUCGGAAUUACUGGGCGUAAAGCGUGCGUAGGCGGUUUGUUAAGUCUGUUGUGAAAUCCCCGGGCUCAACCUGGGAAUGGCAAUGGAUACUGGCAAGCUAGAGUGUGUCAGAGGAUGGUGGAAUUCCCGGUGUAGCGGUGAAAUGCGUAGAGAUCGGGAGGAACAUCAGUGGCGAAGGCAGCCAUCUGGGACAACACUGACGCUGAGGCACGAAAGCGUGGGGAGCAAACAGGAUUAGAUACCCCUGUAGUCCCUGUCUCUUAUAC
rnacentral:rRNA from 1 species